GGAUUUGUGCCUGAUAAAAGGGCAGCCUUGAUAGGGCCGAACAUGAGGGUUAAAGCCCCUCCAACUCCU
rnacentral:tRNA from 1 species